rnacentral:lncRNA from 1 species
AAACAAACAGUAGGAGUUUCUUUCCACAGUGGAAGGGAGAAUAAUGAGAAGAAGGAUGCAGAAGAGAGGGGAAAGUUGAAAGUAGCUGAUAUGGGACCACAGAAUAUUGGCCAAUCAGUGUUUUACAUAAUGUCUGUGGAGUGGCCAUGUGCUCUAGAAGAGUGAGACAACCUUGGCAUAACCUUCUUUAAGAGCCAAUCACAUAACACUGUGAAUAUUUAUAAAAUUUUAGACCAUUACCUGUUUCAGCUCCCUUUGAUGAUUCAUGCUAAGGGUAGAGAACCAGAAGAUUGUAAUGACUAUACUUAUACCUAAACAAGUAAUAAAUAAAUGCAUUUGGCUUCCUUACCUUGAGUAUUGAAUCAACAUUUGAAAACAAAGUAAUCAACCUUUGGCAAUUUGAAACAUCAAAGGACUUUGUAUUCUCCAGUGAAUGAAGGAUAAAAAUUAGACAUGGAGACACUUGGUUUGGCAGAGCAGGGAUAAUCGGAGUGAUAUACACCCGUGGGUGCUGUUGUUCACCCUGUGUCACAUGGAUUCACUUCUUCAUUUGUCCAGAUGCAGCUACUCCAGGGUUCCAGUGGGCCUCACUUCCUGAAGAGAAACUUAGAAAAGGGAGGUUUCCAAAAAAAACUGUAUUUCCCAUCCCUGAGGUUAUCUCUAGGCCAUAAGUGGUAUUCACUAUCUCCUUCCUUCACUAUCCAUUCUAAUUUCCCCUUGCCCUCAUGGAUCCCCUCUCCUGGAAUGGUAUCUUAAUUGGUGGAAUGACACAAAACUUUCAUUCUUAAAGGAUCUGGGCCCUGAUGACCACCCUUUUCUCAGGCUGGAGUUGCUACAUUUAUGCAUUCACAGCCAUAAUUACACAAAGGAACAUGCCAGGAAAUGUCCAAAUAGAUCAACUGAGUGUAUUCUGGUCUCCCUCAUUGAAUAACAGUAGUCCUGCCUGCUCCUGCUAUUCAAGUCAAUCACUCCUGUAACAUAGUAAUUACUCUUCUAACCUGUUGGGUCCUGGAUACAGGACAUCCAAAGUGCUCAAGCAAUAGCCAGAGAUUGGAUCUCAAUGAUAUCCAUGCUGUGUCACUAAGGAGGGUGUGCUAUACUUAGGAACCAGGAUCUCUACCCUAGAGAGCCCAGAGUGGAAAGGACAGGGAAUGCAAAGUCCCCCAACAGGUCAUUGGAAAUGACGGCAAGUGGGACUACUUCUGCAUCCAAACCUUGGUUCCUAGACCCAUGAAUUUCUCCAUCAGACACAAUGCCAUAGAGCGGUAUCUGAUUUGCAGAAUAUACUACAUCUUGGAGCAAUGUGCCAUAUCCUUCCAGAGCAUUACCCUUCACCAGGGCAUUCAUAUGCAUUAGUCAGGCCAUUCUAACACUCUGUUCAUCUGGUAGCCUUUCCAUGUUGUGGUAUUUAGUGUACUCAGUAGAUCCCAUGGUCGUUGUCCUGCUCCUACACUUCUUUAACUGUGAAGUGUGUUUUGCUGGGGGACUCUAUGCACUAUGGGAUUCCAUGCCUGUGGGUAAAGCACUCUGAAUGUCUCUGGAUGGUGGUGUCUCAAAUAUUAUUUAGAAAGACAAACUCAGGUGUUUGAAUAUCUUAAAUAUCAUAAGAAAGAGAAACUCAUGUUCAAAACACAUCUAUUUCUGUGAGAAAAACAGCUGGGCCUUCUAGGACAGAGUGAGGCCAAAUGUAGUCAACUUGCUACCAGUGGGUGGUUGGUCUCGUUAAGGAAGAGAAACAUUUUCAGAGACUCAGCAUUGACGAUAGCUGAUCAAUGCUGAGUCUCAGCCUUGGCAAAUGAGAGUCAUGCUGUUGGGCUUAUGUGAACCUUCCAUCUCUGCUGCUGAGUCCUUUCUAGUCAUGUGUUCAUUAAGCCAGUUCUGGGGUGGCUUAUGACAAAGGCAGACUAAUGUCUACCAACCAAGUCAUUCUUACCUACUUUGUAGUUCCGUGAUUUUUCUACAAUAAUGCUUUCUGGUGGGUAUUCACAAGCCAUAGAAAGCUCUUCACACUUUGUGCCCACUCCCAUGUGUUCAUCCACAUGCUUCUACCUCAGACAUUCCUAUCUUCAGUUUUCCAGGCCCCUGAGAAGCCAGCCAGGUUAUUUGAAUUGCUCAUGACUCUGUAUAUAUUCUCACUUCAAGCUACUUCUUCCACACAAAAUAGCUGUACCACUUGAAACUCUGACAUUGGAAAGAUUUCUCUCACCAUUGUCUGAGUGUAGCUUAUAAAGCAACCACGUCUAUUUUUGGUUUGACCCAUAUACUGAACCAACCCAUCUGUAAGUUAAGCUUGGACUUGUUCUGCUUCUUCAGCAGUCAUGAAGGACACCUGCAUUGCCCCUAUGGUCAUAGAUGUGAGCUGAGGAAAGCUGCUGGUGCAACCCUGUGGCUGACGUGAAAAGUCAAUGACGUCUAAGCUACCUGCUCAUGCAGAUUUCUCAUCCUCACUUGUCUGCUCAGGGUCAAUGCAAAUUAAUCAUUUAUUAUGAUCAACUGAUGCUGGUUUCACUCAAUGCCUUGAGGGAUCCAACAGAACCCAGCUCAUAUGAGUCUCUACAAGGGUCUAGUAACAUCAUGAGGCAGAUGCUACCCCUCUGUUGAUGGCAUAGCCUUUCUCUAUAACCCUAGAGCCUUUGGUUCUCUAGAACCCUAGAGCCUUUGGGAUGAUUCUCCCAAUGGGCUUGACAUAAGUUUUACACUGUACCUUUUCCCACCACUGACACCUCCAGCAUCAUAGGAUCUGCUAGAUAGCAUACCCAAAGAAAACAUUUGCUUGCCUUGCGUCUGAAUCUGCCACAUAGCCCUUUCCUGUUCCAGGCCCCACACAAAGCUAUAAGUCUUUUGUAUCAUUUAGGAUAUCCGCUGAAACAAUAUGUCUAAGUAUGGAAGAUAUUACCUCCAAAAUGCAAAGAGGCUUACCAAAUGUUAUACCUUCUUUUUUAGUAGAGGAUACAUGCACCAAUUUGUCUUUUAUUUUAGAUGAAAAACCUGGCAUGCACUUGACCACUGAACCCCUAAAAACUACAAAAGUGUCGGGUCCCUGAAUCUUCAAAAGGUGUAUCUCCCAACCCCUGGGACACAUGUGUCUUACCAAAACCUCCAGCAUCCUAGCCACCUCUUGCUCAUUCUUUUUUAUCAGCAUGGUAUCAUCAAUUUAAUAGAUCAAUAUGAUGCUCUGUGGGAUGUCUAGAUGGUCCAGAUCUUUUCUGACUAUCUUAUGUGAGAGAGUUGAAGCAUUAACAUAUACCUAGGGCAAAAUAUUAAGUGUAUACUAUUGUCCUUUCCUUGUGAAUGCAAAUUAUUUCAGAUUCUUUUAUUCUAAUUGCAAUAAAAAGAAUGAGUUUGCUGUCUCAAAGCCUCAUGCCAUAUGCCCAAGAAUUCAUUAAUCUAUUCUAGCAAAGAUAUUACGUCCAACACAGCAGCUGCAAUCAAGAAUAUUACUUGGUUGAGUUUAUAGUAGUCUAUAGACAUUCUAUUUGGUUUCUGUAGGGACU